UACGUAGGGUGCAAGCGUUAAUCGGAAUUACUGGGCGUAAAGCGUGCGCAGGCGGUUUUGUAAGUUUGUCGUGAAAUCCCCGGGCUCAACCUGGGGAACUGCAUCUGUGACUGCAUAGCUAGAGUACGGUAGAGGGGGAUGGAAUUCCGCGUGUAGCAGUGAAAUGCGUAGAGAUGUGGAGGAAUACCGAUGGCGAAGGCAGCCCCCUGGGCCAAUACUGACGCUCAUGCACGAAAGCGUGGGGAGCAAACAGG
rnacentral:rRNA from 1 species